rnacentral:lncRNA from 1 species
UACCAGUAAAGUGCUUUAUUAAUACUUUUACAAUUAAAAGCUACAAACCCACAAACUAUUGCCUUAAAACCCUUUUACUCUUUAAAAUUACUUAAAUGUCUAAAAAUAAGACACUCAACAAUAACAAUCCUGAAAUAGUUUAGCGACUCAGACUGGAAGAAUCAGAUGGUAAGGUUACUGGAAAAUUGAGGCGCCAUUUCUGAUAUGUAGUGAUUUUGCAAAGGGCACUACCAUGUGGACAAAUGAGGUAUGAAACGGAAGCUAUCAUAACGAUUUUGUGUCCACAUGAUGGCGCCAAAUUCCUACUAAUCUCAAUUUGAUAAUGUAGCAGAGGUAUUAAAAGUGUACAGAUGACACUAAUUUCCUACAUUCAAGUGAACAUCAAACCAUCUAAAUUCCCAAAGGACAAUGAUGCAUGUACCAGUUGGAAACAAUUUUGGAUCAGCUCCAACUGGUCUACAGUUCAGUGACAAAUCUGAAAAUGUCCAAUAUAUUAUAACCUAUGCAAAUGCCACAGUUACCACAGAUUUAGUAUGGAGUUGAAUAAUAAAGCAAUGGCCAUAAAAUAUUGGAGUCAAGAAAAUGACAUAUAUUUAUGACUAAAUUUAUCUAUACUUACUUUGGCCUAUCAAAGAUUCUUCAGAACCAAAUCUGGAAUGCAAACUUCUCACCUGCUAAACAGCUGUGUGGAUAAAUUUAGUACAAAAUAUCACCUAACUCUGAAAUAGUGUCAAGUCUAAAACACCCAGAUAACAUGUGCUAUAUGUUGGAGAGGGAAGUGUUAUAAAAUUAUUUGCAAAUGAUAAUGAUAAUAAAUAUGUUCAUGAAAUGCUCAACAUAAAGAACCAACAGCAUACAUAUCUCUAAUUUAAUGUAAUUCUUUUUUACUACCACAUGUGCAUCAUAUAGAAGAAGUUCCUGGGCUAGGAAUCAAAUCAGAGCUGCAGCUACUGGCCUAUACUGCAGUACUGCAGACACAGCAAUGCCAGAUCUGAGCUGUGUCUGUGACCUACACCACAGCUCUUGCCAACACUGGAUCCUUAAUCCACUGAGCAAGGCCAGGGAAUGAAUCUGCAUCCUCAUGGAUACCUAGUCAGGUUCUUAACCUGCUGAGCCACAAUGGGAACUCAUCUAAUGUAAAUGUUUCUCCACCAAAUGUCAUUACUGCUGACCUGCUGGUUUCCAAUGCUACAAGCAGUGCAGUACUAAGUGGAGUUUUCUUUAAAAAAUCAUCUAAUAGCUUAUAAAGGACAGCAUUGUGAGCACAAAUGAAAUAUAUAGAAGAUCCAUCGUAAUGUUAGAAAUUUGCCAACAGUGAUGGCAAACUCCUAUCUGAAGUUUUCCUUCUUUGUUCACUUCCAGGGACACGUGAACCAAUGUUAUUAGGCAAUCCUAAUACAUUGUAGUACUGGGGCGCAUGAUGGGAGGCACUUCACAGUAUGCUGAGAGGGCCUAGAAAAAAAGGGUUUUUGUUUGGAUGGGAUCUAGGACAGACUAUAAGGAGACCUACAUUUCUAGUUCACAUGCUCUAGGAUAAUGUAUGGAAGGAACACCAAAGUGAAAUAACUUUAACUUCCAAAGAUGAGAACUCUUCCGUGCCACAGCAUGGGAGUCCUUCAAAUCAUUGAAACAGCCAAGCAGAGAAGUAUAUUCAUGAAUCCCACCCAUACUCCAAGGACAGGGUAAAAAGUAUUUAUUCCCCUUCCCCCUCUGGUGAGAAGCUUGCCCAGUUUGUAGUUUCCACAUGUAUAAAACCAGAUGCUUUAGGAGUUCCCAUCAUGGCUCAGCAGUUAUCAAACCCAACUAGCAUCCAUGAAGAUAUGGGUUCAACCCCUGGCCUUGCUCAUGGGUUAAGGAUCUGGCAUUGCUGUGAGCUGUGGUGUAGGUCACAGACAUGGCUCAGAUCCCACAUUGCUGUGUCUGUGGCAUAGGCCAGCAGCUGCAGCUUCAAUUCUACCCCUAGCCUGGGAACUUCCAUAUAC